AUAUUCAUAUUCACUAAACGAAUACACAAACUUAGACAAACAAUUUUGGUUCAGUGUGAUGACUUCUCCUAAUUCACUAUCCAAUUCUCUUAUUGGUAUUAUUGGUAUCUAAGACUAAUUCUUUCAUGCCUGGUGAAAUAUAUCUUAAACCACUUCAUUCCAUUUCCGCCAAGUAUCAAAAAAACCUGAGGGUACUUCUGCUGUUAUUAAACAAUCCCUUUUCCAUAUGUCUUUGUGUAUUCAUUUGGUUUUUAAUAUGUUCCCAACAGAUGGUAUCCACAUGUUUCCAUUUUCUGGCAAUGGUGAUUUUCAUUGCCAAAAGGACAUGGUGAAUCAGCCCAUGUUGUUGUUGGUUUUUUUUUAUCCCUCCUUAAUUUAAGUGCAGUAAGGCUUUCAGGGGACACGGGGCAUUUUCCCCCCUACAAUUUCUGAAAUUAUUUGGAACAUUUUUAUCCAACUUUGAGAUCUCACUUUUCCACCAGAUAUGCACCCAUGAACCCUGUCCUUUCCCACACCUCCAGCAAAUGUUUUCUUUUGAUGGAUCUAUUAUAUUCAUGAUUUGUGGAACCAUGAAGUACUUACUAUUUAGUGAAUGGCUUUAAAUAAUGGCUUAUAUUGGAGAGGAGAAGGAGAAUCAUUGAG